GACGAACGCUGGCGGCGUGCCUAAUACAUGCAAGUCGAGCGGACUUUCAAGAAGCUUGCUUUUGAAAGUUAGCGGCGGACGGGUGAGUAACACGUGGGCAACCUGCCUGUAAGACGGGGAUAACUCCGGGAAACCGGGGCUAAUACCGGAUAAUAUCUUUCUUCGCAUGAAGGAAGGUUGAAAGGCGGCGCAAGCUGCCGCUUGCAGAUGGGCCCGCGGCGCAUUAGCUAGUUGGUGAGGUAACGGCUCACCAAGGCGACGAUGCGUAGCCGACCUGGGAGGGUGAUCGGCCACACUGGGACUGAGACACGGCCCAGACUCCUACGGGAGGCAGCGGUAGGGAAUCUUCCGCAAUGGACGAAAGUCUGACGGAGCAACGCCGCGUGAGCGAAGAAGGUCUUCGGAUCGUAAAGCUCUGUUGUCAGGGAAGAACAAGUACCGUUCGAAUAGGGCGGUACCUUGACGGUACCUGACCAGAAAGCCACGGCUAACUACGUGCCAGCCGCCGCCGUAA
rnacentral:rRNA from 1 species